GCCGUCACAUUCUUACCCCUCCACACUGAUAUUUACUCUCUGAUAAAUGGCAAUUGUAAAUAAAUCUCAUUUAAUCUCCAAAAGCCACAAUAAAAAUCUUUAACCUCCAAGGUAGUUUACAAAUGUGCACGCACACCCUGCCAGCGCCAGAAAACACAAGGUCUUGAAUAAAAGGCCUUUAACAGGAGGCGCGUUUUCCCGGUGAGAAUCUUAUAUUGACCUUUAAAUACAUAUAUAUGUAUGAUGAAGGAGGAGGAAAGGGAAACCCAACCCCUCCCACUCCAUUCUCUCUACAAAUCGGCCAAUAAAUCUAAGGAAAAGACACAAGAGAAAAGGACAGAAGCCAACAGGUGGAAAGGGGGUUUUUGUUUCAUUAGAAAUGGUCAGACACUUGAUCUGUGCUCGCCGGUCUGUUUGUCUCCCGGUGUCUUUAAUGACGGUUUUAUCGUCAUGACGGCGAUAAUCAGGAAUAAUGGUCACACUUCUACUUUGUGAUUCCACAGCAUUGCCAGCCAGAAGAUUUCGCCACACAGUUACAUGGAGUGGGCUGCUCUGUUUGGCUUCACCCCUGGGAGACGUGCGGCAUCCCCAGUCGGCUCUCCCGCUUUCACAGAUUGGGAUCUAGUCGUCGUUCACCAUGUUACAGAGCAUAAAUCCAAGCCACUGAUUUAAAAAAAGAAAAAGAAAGAAAGAAACGUGGACAUUUGGGAGUCAACCUAACUGGAAAAAAAUGGAAGUCCAGACACUGAACCAUGAAGACGAGGAGUGCAUGAGAUGGCAGAGGAAGGCACAAACUGUGAGCAGGGGACCCACAGAGGACGCAAGAAUCUUGAAGCUUUGUAGACAGCACGGACCCAGGACAGCUGGUGGAGAGUGGGAAGGGGAUUACAACAACUCGGAGCUCUUGCAAGCCUUGCUGUCUCACAGAGCUAGGCCUCCAUGGCUGUCCUGGUGAACCACGGCUCAGCCUGAGCUCUGUUUUUGCGUGAAGGUCACUUGGACCCCUUCUCCAGAAUCUUCUUCUCCAAGGUGGAAGUUGUGUGGACACAAAUGACUACUCUCCUGACAGGCACACAGUAAGAAAUAAAGAAUGACUUUUCUUUCACAGGCUUCAACCUCACUGCAUGGCUUGUCACUGGCUGAAACAAUGACAAAGACAUUGUGCCCUGCUCCUUCUCCCCUUAGCUUGGUCCCUACUACUAGUUCUGGGAGCUGUGUACUUGGAUUCCAAUUUACAACCACGAUAGUGAGAGGAAUAAUGAUUACCUUCAUGUUUCUCAACAUUUGCCCAAGCAUUUAUAUCAUGAAGUAAUUUUCAUUAAGACGAACCAUUUUCACUUACGGAUAGAUUUCUUUGUUUUGUUUGAGACGCUAUCUUACUAUGUAGCUCUAGUUAGGCUGUAACUCAC
ensembl:lncRNA LOC102549654 uncharacterized LOC102549654